GGAGUCUGGGCCGUAUCUCAGUCCCAAUGUGGCCGUUCAACCUCUCAGUCCGGCUACUGAUCGCAGUCUUGGUAGGCCGUUACCCUGCCAACUAACUAAUCAGAUAUGAGCCCAUCUUUCAGCGGAUUGCUCCUUUGGUUUCAUGAGGAUGCCCUCUCGAAACAUUAUGCGGUAUUAGCAGUCGUUUCCAACUGUUGUCCCCCUCUGAAAGGCAGGUUGCUCAUACAUUACUCACCCGUCCGCCACUAAGUCAAAUCCCGUUCUUGACGAAUCUCAAACAGAAAGUGCUUCGUUCGACUUGCAUGUGUUAGGCACGCCGCCAGCGUUCAUC
rnacentral:rRNA from 1 species